UGGGACCACAACCCAGACUGGGGGCCCUGACCUUGCCUGGCCAUUAGGGAAAAUCGGGGCAGCAUCUCUGAGGGCUCAGUCUCUACAGUGUCUGCUUGAGAGAGAAAGAGCAAGAGGGAGUGAGCGAAAGAGGUCAUUUACAAUUCUGCCAUUCAUAAAUUUGUCCAAAGCUUUUUGGAAGGCAUUUAUAGUUCCUGCCAGCACUACCUCUUGGGGGUGAUGAAUUCCAAUAAGUUCCAAUCCGUUUAUUACUCACUGUGAGAGAAAUUGCUUCCUUUUAUGUCUGGAACUAAACCUGGGUCACGUUUCAUAGGAUAUCUCCUAGUCACAGCGUUUUGGAAUUCGGUGAGUAAGUCUGUGCCCCAUGCAUCCUCAAGAUUCUUCCCUUCCCUUCUGGCCUUCAGACUGAAGACCCUAACCUUUCAGCCUGUCUGAUAUUCCCAUUUUAUUUCUCCUUCUCUGAAUCUCCUUCUCCUUGCCAUAUCUUUUUAGAUUGUGGUGGUCAGCACAUCCUCAAUCAUCCUGUUUCACAAGAAGACACAAAAGCUGCUUUGCAUAAAGGAAGACUUGUUGCUUUCUGUCUUGGAGAGCACAGCAUGGGAGCACAAGAUAACUGACAGAGAAGCACUCCGGGGCAGGGCCGCCUGCUUCUGAAGCAUCUUUAUACUGCUAUGGCCUCACUUACCGUCUGUGACAUGAUCGAUGCUCGCAGGAUGGAUGCCUGUUACCAAGUGAAUGAAGAUCCUGAGUGCUGGUAUCCGAGUUUCCAGAAAUCUUCUGAGUGGUGCUACCUGAAAUGGAACAGCUCGGGGGCUGUUUUGUGGGACACUCAAGUGGGACUUAUGUGCUACAGGGAUCCCCCCACUUUUCAAAACUCUGAGUUAGGCCGCUUCGCUUUUAAGAAAGACCCCUGGAAGGACCUGUUUUCACUAGCUGAAAGAAAUCCAAGGACGAUUUUCACCUUUACGAAAGAAGGAUGCAGAGAGCCCAAGAAGAGAGUGAAGACAAGACUCAGCAUCAGCUCAACAGCAAGACGUCUAUCUAGUGCCUGUCAUUCCCCCACCUGUACUGUUCGCCCAUCCAUCUGUCCAUCCAUCCAUCCAUCCAUCCAUCCAACAUUCAGUAAGUAUUUCCUAUGCACAAGGCACCAAUGAGAACCAAAUCUUGCCCUCG
rnacentral:lncRNA from 1 species